rnacentral:rRNA from 1 species
GAGUUUGAUCAUGGCUCAGGACGAACGCUGGCGGCGUGCCUAAUACAUGCAAGUCGAGCGGACCGACGGGAGCUUGCUCCCUUAGGUCAGCGGCGGACGGGUGAGUAACACGUGGGUAACCUGCCUGUAAGACUGGGAUAACUCCGGGAAACCGGGGCUAAUACCGGAUGCUUGAUUGAACCGCAUGGUUCCAAUCAUAAAAGGUGGCUUUUAGCUACCACUUACAGAUGGACCCGCGGCGCAUUAGCUAGUUGGUGAGGUAACGGCUCACCAAGGCGACGAUGCGUAGCCGACCUGAGAGGGUGAUCGGCCACACUGGGACUGAGACACGGCCCAGACUCCUACGGGAGGCAGCAGUAGGGAAUCUUCCGCAAUGGACGAAAGUCUGACGGAGCAACGCCGCGUGAGUGAUGAAGGUUUUCGGAUCGUAAAACUCUGUUGUUAGGGAAGAACAAGUACCGUUCGAAUAGGGCGGCACCUUGACGGUACCUAACCAGAAAGCCACGGCUAACUACGUGCCAGCAGCCGCGGUAAUACGUAGGUGGCAAGCGUUGUCCGGAAUUAUUGGGCGUAAAGCGCGCGCAGGCGGUUUCUUAAGUCUGAUGUGAAAGCCCCCGGCUCAACCGGGGAGGGUCAUUGGAAACUGGGGAACUUGAGUGCAGAAGAGGAGAGUGGAAUUCCACGUGUAGCGGUGAAAUGCGUAGAGAUGUGGAGGAACACCAGUGGCGAAGGCGACUCUCUGGUCUGUAACUGACGCUGAGGCGCGAAAGCGUGGGGAGCGAACAGGAUUAGAUACCCUGGUAGUCCACGCCGUAAACGAUGAGUGCUAAGUGUUAGAGGGUUUCCGCCCUUUAGUGCUGCAGCAAACGCAUUAAGCACUCCGCCUGGGGAGUACGGUCGCAAGACUGAAACUCAAAGGAAUUGACGGGGGCCCGCACAAGCGGUGGAGCAUGUGGUUUAAUUCGAAGCAACGCGAAGAACCUUACCAGGUCUUGACAUCCUCUGACACCCCUAGAGAUAGGGCUUCCCCUU